CAGCUUGUGUGCGUGAAGCGAAUGUCAACAAAGAAUUGCAAAAAAAAAUGUGAUUUUUAAACGCACCGUUUUCAACGUUUUUUGCAGAAAUUUUCGUAAUGGAGCCAUCAGUCGGAGAAAAUGAAACCUGCUACGUGGAUGUGGAGUUUGCGGAUGUGUUCGAUUACGCUGCGGGUGGAAGCCGUUUAGUCGUCGAAGGCGAAAGAGUAUUCAAAGCUGGACAUAUUUUAAUAGUUGGUGUUGAAGAAGUUCACGAUGAAGGCUUCAGUAUUUUCUCGUCCUGCCUCCAGUCAUCAUCUCCAAGCUCGGAACCCCACACAAUAAAAAUUCGUACGAAAAUCUCUUUCUCCAAA